rnacentral:tRNA from 1 species
GCACCCGUAGCUCAGCUGGAUAGAGCGUCUGACUACGAAUCAGAAGGUCGCAUGUUCGAAUCAUGCCGGGUGCACCA